AGGGGGUGUAGCUCAUAUGGU
rnacentral:siRNA from 1 species